AUUGAACGCUGGCGGAAUGCUUUACACAUGCAAGUCGAACGGCAGCACGGACUUCGGUCUGGUGGCGAGUGGCGAACGGGUGAGUAAUGUAUCGGAACGUGCCCAGUCGUGGGGGAUAACGUAGUGAAAAUUACGCUAAUACCGCAUACGAUCUAUGGAUGAAAGCGGGGGAUCGCAAGACCUCGCGCGAUUGGAGCGGCCGAUAUCAGAUUAGGGAGGUGGUGGGGUAAAGGCCCACCAAGCCAACGAACUGUAGCUGGUCUGCGAGGACGACCAGCCACACUGGAACUGAGACACGGUCCAGACUCCUACGGGAGGCAGCAGUGGGGAAUUUUGGACAAUGGGCGAAAGCCUGAUCCAGCCAUUCCGCGUGCAGGAUGAAGGCCCUCGGGUUGUAAACUGCUUUUGUACAGAACGAAAAGGUUUCUACUAAUACUAGGAGCUCAUGACGGUACUGUAAGAAUAAGCACCGGCUAACUACGUGCCAGCCGCCGCGGUAA
rnacentral:rRNA from 1 species